UACGUAGGGAGCAAGCGUUAUCCGGAAUUACUGGGCGUAAAGGGCGUGUAGGCGGCUACUUAAGCCAGAUGUUAAAUGUUACAGCUCAACUGUAAACCUGCAUCUGGAACUGGGUAGCUAGAGGACGAGAGAGGAAAGUGGAAUUCCUAGUGUAGCGGUGGAAUGCGUAGAUAUUAGGAGGAACACCAGUGGCGAAGGCGGCUUUCUGGCUCGUACCUGACGCUGAGGCGCGAAAGCGUGGGGAGCAAACAGGAUUAGAUACCCUGGUAGUCCACGCCGUAAACGAUGAGUACUAGGUGUAGGAGGGAACAACCUUCUGUGCCGCAGCUAACGCAAUAAGUACUCCGCCUGGGGAGUACGCUCGCAAGAGUGAA
rnacentral:rRNA from 1 species